rnacentral:rRNA from 1 species
UACGUAGGGUGCAAGCGUUAAUCGGAAUUACUGGGCGUAAAGCGUGCGCAGGUGGUUCUAUAAGACAGAUGUGAAAUCCCCGGGCUCAACCUGGGAACUGCAUUUGUGACUGUAGAGCUGGAGUACGGUAGAGGGGGAUGGAAUUCCGCGUGUAGCAGUGAAAUGCGUAGAUAUGCGGAGGAACACCGAUGGCGAAGGCAAUCCCCUGGACCUGUACUGACGCUCAUGCACGAAAGCGUGGGGAGCAAACAGG